UACGGAGGAUCCAAGCGUUAUCCGGAUUUACUGGGUUUAAAGGGUGCGUAGGCGGAUUGAUAAGUCAGUGGUGAAAUCCUGCAGCUUAACUGCAGAAUUGCCGUUGAUACUGUUAGUCUGGAGUAUGGUUGAGGUAGCUGGAACGUGUCGUGUAGCGGUGAAAUGCUUAGAGAUGACACAGAACACCAACGGCGAAGGCAGGUUACCAACCCAUUACUGACGCUGAGGCACGAAAGCGUGGGGAGCAAACAGGAUUAGAUACCCUGGUAGUCCACGCCGUAAACUAUGAUUACUAGUUGUUGGCGAUAUAUUGUCAGUGACUGAGCGAAAGCAUUAAGUAAUCCACCUGGGGAGUACGUUCGCAAGAAUGAAACUCAAAGGAAUUGACGGGGGCCCGCACAAGCGGAGGAGCAUGUGGUUUAAUUCGAUGAUACGCGAGGAACCUUACCUGGGCUCGAACGUAUGGGGAAUUAUGCCGAAAGGUAUGAGCCAGCAAUGGCCGCAUACGAGGUGCUGCAUGGUU
rnacentral:rRNA from 1 species